rnacentral:rRNA from 1 species
UACGAAGGGGGCUAGCGUUGUUCGGAAUUAUUGGGCGUAAAGGGCUCGUAGGCGGUUUGUCACGUCGGGAGUGAAAACUCGGGGCUCAACCCCGAGCCUGCUUCCGAUACGGGCAGACUAGAGGUAUGCAGGGGAGAAUGGAAUUCCUGGUGUAGCGGUGAAAUGCGCAGAUAUCAGGAGGAACACCGGUGGCGAAGGCGGUUCUCUGGGCAUUACCUGACGCUGAGGAGCGAAAGUGUGGGGAGCGAACAGG